rnacentral:rRNA from 1 species
CCGCGCGAAGGUAGCGUAAUCACUUGUCUUCUAAAUAAAGACUAGUAUGAACGGCCACACGAGGACUUGACUGUCUCCCCUGUCCAAUCAGUGAAACUGAUUUCCUCGUGCAGAAGCGAGGAUAAACCCAUAAGACGAGAAGACCCUAUGGAGCUUUAAACUCAAUAUUAACUACCUUUUAACCCUCCUCUAAGGAGCUAACAAAUAAUUUUAGAACUUAAUAUUAGUUUUAGGUUGGGGCGACCAUGGAGGAAAAAAAUAUCCUCCCUGAUGAUUUUCUAACCAAGAGCCACAGCUCUAAGUAUUAAGAUACUUAACUCCCAUUGACCCAUUUUAUGAUCAACGAACCAAGUUACCCUAGGGAUAACAGCGCAAUCCAUUUCAAGAGUCCCUAUCGACAAAUGGGUUUACGACCUCGAUGUUGGAUCAGGGCAUCCUA